rnacentral:tRNA from 2 species
GGAGGCGGAUUGGGCCUGGUGGCCCUCCUGGUCUUCAAAACCAGUGUGGCGCCUAACCCGUGCUAGGUGGGUUCGAUUCCCACACGCCUCCGCCA